rnacentral:rRNA from 1 species
GAUGAACGCUGGCGGCGUGCCUAAUACAUGCAAGUCGAGCGAACAGAUGAGGAGCUUGCUCCUCUGACGUUAGCGGCGGACGGGUGAGUAACACGUGGAUAACCUACCUAUAAGACUGGGAUAACUUCGGGAAACCGGAGCUAAUACCGGAUAAUAUAUUGAACCGCAUGGUUCAAUAGUGAAAGACGGUUUUGCUGUCACUUAUAGAUGGAUCCGCGCCGCAUUAGCUAGUUGGUAAGGUAACGGCUUACCAAGGCAACGAUGAGUAGCCGACCUGAGAGGGUGAUCGGCCACACUGGAACUGAGACACGGUCCAGACUCCUACGGGAGGCAGCAGUAGGGAAUCUUCCGCAAUGGGCGAAAGCUUGACGGAGCAACGCCGCGUGAGUGAUGAAGGUCUUCGGAUCGUAAAACUCUGUUAUUAGGGAAGAACAAAUGUGUAAGUAACUAUGCACGUCUUGACGGUACCUAAUCAGAAAGCCACGGCUAACUACGUG